CAACCGCCCCCUUCCAGCUGUCACAAGUACCAAGUCUUUCAAUUAAACGUUAUCUCUCCCUGAGGAGAGAAGAACCUAAAGCUUGUUGCAAACGUGUAAAGCAUAUUGCCCCCCACAAUGGCAUCCCUGUUGGGUGCGUUUGGACUGUUCACUGGAAUAUCCAAAUGGAUGAAGAGAGCAAAAAGCAAGUCAAGGGAGGCACAGCAACAAACAGUUCUGUCAACAUCUAAUCAUAUUAGGAACUAACAGAAGAUUGUUAGUACGUUUCUAAAUGUAUACCAUUUAUGGAAAAGGAAAAUGAAAGAAAAGGCCCCUGUUGAUUUCAUUCCAGCUUCCAGGUAUUUUGGACUUGUUUCGCCAAAGGUCAGGGGUUCUGGGAGUUGAAGUCAAAAUAAUUUGGAGUAGCAAUGUCUGAGAACCAGUGACCUACAUGAUUCCCAAGACGGUAAUAUCACACAGAGUAUCUGGCACUGCAGAAGGGGUGAGUUGGUGUUACCCCCCUGAACCUCCAGCUAGUACCAGUGAUACUGAGGCCAAUAAUAAUGAUUAGACAUGCAGGUGUGGCAUCAAACUGAAGUGUGGGAAAGGAUUGUUUCAAAAAGCAGAACUGGAUAGCUCUUUCUGCAAUGAAUGUAAACGUACAUACACUGGUGUUACACCAACAUAUGUCCCUAACAGGCUUUUCGUCCAUGCUGUCAGUUAUAACAAUGCUAAUAUUUUCUGACAUGUCUUGUUCUAGGUCAUCCCUCCUAAACUAAUGCUUUGUGCUGAAAGGGUCAUAAUGCCGACCGUAUAGUUGUUCAUUCAUGAUGGCAGAGAUGCUUAGGUGCCUGCAGUCUCUGAACUGGGAUUGUGGUAACCAAUUGCCACCUGAUUUUGUCACUUGUUUUUAAAGUUUUAAAACUAGUAAACCUAUCUGGUACAAAUAGUUAUCUUUUCCUGGAAGCUAGACUUGCCAGAUUCUUUCACUUUAUUUGUUUUUGUUUAUCAUUUUAUGAAUCAUCUCCAAUUUUCACUUUGAAAGCGAUUUUAAAACAUAACACAUUACUUCAGUUAGUGCAACCUAGAAUAAUA